GAUGAACGCUGGCGGCGUGCCUAAUACAUGCAAGUCGAGCGAAUGGAUUAAGAGCUUGCUCUUAUGAAGUUAGCGGCGGACGGUGAGUAACACGUGGGUAACCUGCCCAUAAGACUGGGAUAACUCCGGGAAACCGGGGCUAAUACCGGAUAACAUUUUGAACCGCAUGGUUCGAAAUUGAAAGGCGGCUUCGGCUGUCCCUUAUGGAUGGACCCGCGUCGCAUUAGCUAGGUGGUGAGGUAACGGCUCACCAAGGCAACGAUGCGUAGCCGACCUGAGAGGGUGAUCGGCCACACUGGGACUGAGACACGGCCCAGACUCCUACGGGAGGCAGCAGUAGGGAAUCUUCCGCAAUGGACGAAAGUCUGACGGAGCAACGCCGCGUGAGUGAUGAAGGCUUUCGGGUCGUAAAACUCUGUUGUUAGGGAAGAACAAGUGCUAGUUGAAUAAGCUGGCACCUUGACGGUACCUAACCAGAAAGCCACGGCUAACUACGUGCCAGCCGCCGCCGUAA
rnacentral:rRNA from 1 species